rnacentral:misc_RNA from 1 species
CACGUAGCCGAUAGGGUCACCCACCUCACCCUCGCCAACAGCACUGCCGCUUCCCGUUAUCUUUUCCUUCUGCCGUCAUCGACAUCUGCUGUCCUCCACGCUAGCCUCCCUCUCCCCGCCACCGCCUCUGUGGUACCGACACCAGAUAAAAGGUCGAUGUUUUCGUUGCACAGUAGUCCCAGCUCAGACGAGCUUGCCGAGGAGCUUCGUCAGCAGCUCGCCACUCUGCAGAGUUGCAGCGAUCAUAUCCAGCAGUCCCUCACGGCUCUCCGCCAGCAGCCAAAAGCACCUGCAUCCGUCAGUACUCAUGAUGCGCAAUCCGACGAGCCCCAUGACGAGCCGCAGGAAGCUGUGCAACCCCCCGGGCAGGAGCAGUCGGAGCAUGACGGGGCGGAGGGCUACCCCACCGAGAACACCGACGCGAAACCGCAGCCAGCGCAGGAGACGCCCGCUGCGAGCACCGCUGCACGGGAAUUGGAGGAGACGGUGCCGCAAGAGCACGAACCGUCACAGAGCGCAGAGCCGCCUGAGUGCCACGCCGAGGACUCCGCUCAGAUCCCUAACACCCAAGAAGCACAAACGCCUACCGCCCUGCACAGUGCCACUGAAAACAAUGCGGACGACACAAAUCCCCUCACAUACAACGUGCCGUCAGCAGCUCUGAUUCAGGAUCUCCCCUCCUGCCACCUGCUCACAUCGGCACACACACCCGACACGUCGCUUCACCGCAUCAACCUCUCGGCCAGCCAACACAGCUCCUAUGGUACCAACAGCGCCUGCCUCUCCCCUGCCCGAAACACCCACGCGAGCACACAUGAGCCGAUCCCUUAUCGUCAGGACUCCGCAAACCCCUCAGCUGCAUACGCCAUCGACCCCACCACGGCGCGCGAGGCGGGGGAGCACGCCGAGGGGUCGGAGGAAGCUGUGCAACCCCCCGGGCAGGAGCAGUCGGAGCAUGGCGGGGCGGAGGGCUACCCCACCGAGAACACCGACGCGAAACCGCAGCCAGCGCAGGAGACGCCCGCUGCGAGCACCGCUGCACGGGAAUUGGAGGAGACGGUGCCGCAAGAGCACGAACCGUCACAGAGCGCAGAGCCGCCUGAGUGCCACGCCGAGGACUCCGCUCAGAUCCCUAACACCCAAGAAGCACAAACGCCUACCGCCCUGCACAGUGCCACUGAAAACAAUGCGGACGACACAAAUCCCCUCACAUACAACGUGCCGUCAGCAGCUCUGAUUCAGGAUCUCCCCUCCUGCCACCUGCUCACAUCGGCACACACACCCGACACGUCGCUUCACCGCAUCAACCUCUCGGCCAGCCAACACAGCUCCUAUGGUACCAACAGCGCCUGCCUCUCCCCUGCCCGAAACACCCACGCGAGCACACAUGAGCCGAUCCCUUAUCGUCAGGACUCCGCAAACCCCUCAGCUGCAUACGCCAUCGACCCCACCACGGCGCGCGAGGCGGGGGAGCACGCCGAGGGGUCGGAGGAAGCUGUGCAACCCCCCGGGCAGGAGCAGUCGGAGCAUGACGGGGCGGAGGGCUACCCCACCGAGAACACCGACGCGAAACCGCAGCCAGCGCAGGAGACGCCCGCUGCGAGCACCGCUGCACGGGAAUUGGAGGAGACGGUGCCGCAAGAGCACGAACCGUCACAGAGCGCAGAGCCGCCUGAGUGCCACGCCGAGGACUCCGCUCAGAUCCCUAACACCCAAGAAGCACAAACGCCUACCGCCCUGCACAGUGCCACUGAAAACAAUGCGGACGACACAAAUCCCCUCACAUACAACGUGCCGUCAGCAGCUCUGAUUCAGGAUCUCCCCUCCUGCCACCUGCUCACAUCGGCACACACACCCGACACGUCGCUUCACCGCAUCAACCUCUCGGCCAGCCAACACAGCUCCUAUGGUACCAACAGCGCCUGCCUCUCCCCUGCCCGAAACACCCACGCGAGCACACAUGAGCCGAUCCCUUAUCGUCAGGACUCCGCAAACCCCUCAGCUGCAUACGCCAUCGACCCCACCACGGCGCGCGAGGCGGGGGAGCACGCCGAGGGGUCGGAGGAAGCUGUGCAACCCCCCGGGCAGGAGCAGUCGGAGCAUGACGGGGCGGAGGGCUACCCCACCGAGAACACCGACGCGAAACCGCAGCCAGCGCAGGAGACGCCCGCUGCGAGCACCGCUGCACGGGAAUUGGAGGAGACGGUGCCGCAAGAGCACGAACCGUCACAGAGCUCAGAGCCGCCUGAGUGCCACGCCGAGGACUCCGCUCAGAUCCCUAACACCCAAGAAGCACAAACGCCUACCGCCCUGCACAGUGCCACUGAAAACAAUGCGGACGACACAAAUCCCCUCACAUACAACGUGCCGUCAGCAGCUCUGAUUCAGGAUCUCCCCUCCUGCCACCUGCUCACAUCGGCACACACACCCGACACGUCGCUUCACCGCAUCAACCUCUCGGCCAGCCAACACAGCUCCUAUGGUACCAACAGCGCCUGCCUCUCCCCUGCCCGAAACACCCACGCGAGCACACAUGAGCCGAUCCCUUAUCGUCAGGACUCCGCAAACCCCUCAGCUGCAUACGCCAUCGACCCCACCGCGGCGCGCGAGGCGGGGGAGCACGCCGAGGGGUCGGAGGAAGCUGUGCAACCCCCCGGGCAGGAGCAGUCGGAGCAUGACGGGGCGGAGGGCUACCCCACCGAGAACACCGACGCGAAACCGCAGCCAGCGCAGGAGACGCCCGCUGCGAGCACCGCUGCACGGGAAUUGGAGGAGACGGUGCCGCAAGAGCACGAACCGUCACAGAGCUCAGAGCCGCCUGAGUGCCACGCCGAGGACUCCGCUCAGAUCCCUAACACCCAAGAAGCACAAACGCCUACCGCCCUGCACAGUGCCACUGAAAACAAUGCGGACGACACAAAUCCCCUCACAUACAACGUGCCGUCAGCAGCUCUGAUUCAGGAUCUCCCCUCCUGCCACCUGCUCACAUCGGCACACACACCCGACACGUCGCUUCACCGCAUCAACCUCUCGGCCAGCCAACACAGCUCCUAUGGUACCAACAGCGCCUGCCUCUCCCCUGCCCGAAACACCCACGCGAGCACACAUGAGCCGAUCCCUUAUCGUCAGGACUCCGCAAACCCCUCAGCUGCAUACGCCAUCGACCCCACCGCGGCGCGCGAGGCGGGGGAGCACGCCGAUCCCCGCCGAAGCGAUAACGAAGCUGGAGAUGUGCAUUUCAAUCUCGAGCGCGAGGAUGCUGUGGGUCGGGCGGCGGCAUCACAGGCGAUUGUGGCAGAGGGUGUAGGUGGUCUCCCGUUAAGUGCAUCUUUGCCACGCAUGCUGGACUGCCACGAGGUAUCAGGGGCGCAGCGGCGGCUCUCAGAUUGCGGGGCUGUGAAGCGAGGGGUGUCGAGCAUGCCGGAAGUCGGGUCGCAUCUCCGCGGCGGUGAGAACCACACCGGGGUGUCUGAUCUUGUCCCCCCCACUAGAUCACCGCCGUCUCAGCAGCAGGGCUACCUCUCUCUGUACGCCUCGAAGAAAAGCGAGCUGGAGAACGCGAAGGAGCCUGAACGAACCUUGGUGGAGCAGGCGAGUGGCGUGGAUGGGGAGCUGGCCCUCUUCGUGUCUUCUUCACUGCUGCCUGUAUCGCGCUGCCUAUUGCAGGUGAAGCCCUUAACACCGCGUGAGCAGGGCCACGACGGCACCUGUGUCACUCCUGCAAUGAGUGUCGCAGCCGCAGCAUAUGCCUCGUCAGUUGCGACCUCAAGCCGCGCUGGGGACGAGGCAGUCGCACUCACCUCCACUGCGCCCGCUCGCUUCGAGCUGUCGAGCGCUGCAAAUGGCGACGUGGUGGAGCGUGACAUCCUUGCUGGGCGCCCGUACUGGGACGCCGAGAACCCCAAAACAACGAGCUAUAGAAAGCCGAGCGCACUGCUGGAGGCAAAGGAGAAGCGGGAGUGCACCCUGUUCCGCCGCUACUCCCGUCGGUACAAAAAGCUCGUAGAAGACUCCGCCGUUCACGUGGGCGGUGAAGCCGGCGCCUCCAUCUUGAGAUCACACGAGGCCUUCAAGGUAGCAUGCGAAGCAGCAGACCAGAAGCCGAUUCACAAACGCAGCUUCUACGAGGGUCCCAGCGUGAAUUGGAAGAAAGUGCUUCUCGAACAGGCUGCGGGGAUGAGCAGCGUCUCGAACGGGGCUGCUUAACAGGCGAGCAGGUGCGCCGGUAGGUUGAGGUGUGACCGCCGACGAGUAGCAAAGGUGAUUUUGUGAGGGGGUUGAACAUGAGAUGGCGGGAGCGGCGCCGAUGGCCUAUUAUACGGAUCCGGUGGAAAGACACGUCACGCGUGACGUCCGAGUCUUGUCUUCACCUUUCUGCCUGGUGCGCACACCGAGCUUCUAUAUAUGCGUCUCGCGCUCGGGGCGCCUUUGGUCAUUUUCUGCCCGCCCUCCCUUUGCCACCGUCAUCCUGCGCUUGCUCGGUUUACCAGCCGCAUCGCUCUUCUGAUCCCUCCCUCCACACUUCAAGGAGGAGGCUUCGCACCCUGUAGCUGAGGGGUUGGGGGAAAUGGUGGGGGGUGAACAGGAGAAAAGAGGCGCCAUCAAAAAAAAAAAAAUAAUAACACAGCCACCACACAUAGAUGUACGUAUAGGUGUACGCGUAUAUAUAUGUCUGUGUGUGUGUUCUGAAACAGGCGGCGGCCUUGCGUACCCGCCACUCUUUUUUUGUGUUUUUCGGCAUUGUAUGCCUGUGCACACACUCGCGCCACCAGAAGUGUGAUGUAUGUAUCUAUCUAGACACCUAUACACAAGCACAUAUGCAUGUAUAUAUUUUUUUAUGCAGGGACGAACUCCCAAUAUGUACAGUAAACGUUAUGGGCAGCAUCGCACUUCGCUUCCCCCUCCCCUCACCCCUUUUUUGCUUGUUUUUUUUUUUAUGAUGGCCUUGUGGCUGCCAUCCGCUUGUGUGUGUGUGUGUGUGUUCACGUGCCUGUAGAUGCACUUUACUCGCUCUCUCCCCUACGCGUCACACCGGGGCAACUGGAGGAGUGCCGGUGGAGGUGUGUAUAGAUGUGUGCAGGGGGUGAGUGGGGAGGGGGGCCGACCGCAAGUGCUUUCAUGUUCACCUGGAAAAGACAACAAAGACGGGGUAAAAGGCGAGCUGAAGGGACGUUCUGUGAACGGUGGGCCACUAAUGCUUCAGGGCUGUGAGAAGGAGGGCAGCGGCAGAAGAGCGUGCGUUGAUGGCCGCCACAAAGAGACGCAAUAGGAGGGUGUCAUUGCUGGAGGAAGGAACGGAGCUGCCAGCCCGUCUUUUCUCGGUGCCGCUGUUCUGAUUGCACCUCUUCUCUUCAGGUCUUCUUCACCGUAUCCCCCGCGCCACGUGUGUGCCGGCAGCACGGUGGAAAGGGCUUGGGGCAGCAAAGGACCAGUCAAGCGAUACACGCGUUAAUGGAGUGCUUGCUCGUGCAGCACGCCGUUCUGGUGUUGAGGAGGCGCAUCUGAACGGCUCCGCGCCCCCUCCCUCCAGAGACGACGCUCGGAAAAAAAAAGAGGCUCUUAUGAGCGCUAUCAUG